rnacentral:rRNA from 1 species
UACGUAGGGACCAAGCGUUGUUCGGAUUUACUGGGCGUAAAGGGCGCGUAGGCGGCAUAUUAAGUCAGCUGUGAAAUCUCCGAGCUUAACUCGGAACUGUCAGCUGAUACUGAUGUGCUAGAGUGCAGAAAGGGCAUUCAGAAUUCUUGGUGUAGCGGUGAAAUUCGUAGAUAUUAGGAAGAACACCAGUGGCGAAGGCGGCUCACUGGCCCGGAACUGACGCUGAUGUACGAAAGCGUGGGGAGCAAACAGG